UUAUUUCGCGGACGCGGCCCGUCGCUCAAUGCGCGCCUGCGCUCUUAGGGCGCGUCUUGAGGGGGCGGGGGGCGCGGGUUGCGCCGGCGUCGUCGACGAUGUUGAUACCAAAGCGUCGGUGGUGUUGUUGUUGAAGUUUCGGUGCCGCCACUGGACGAAUAU